GUGGGAACCUGCCCAGUAGUAGAGAAUAACUUGGGGAAACUUAAGCUAAUACUUUAUACGUCCUUCGGGAGAAAGCUUUAUGCGCUAUUGGAUGGGCCCGCGUUAGAUUAGUUUGUUGGUGAGGUAACGGCUCACCAAGGCGACGAUCUAUAGCUGGUCUGAGAGGAUGAUCAGCCACACUGGGACUGAGACACGGCCCAGACUCCUACGGGAGGCAGCAGUGGGGAAUAUUGGACAAUGGGGGCAACCCUGAUCCAGCGAUGCCGCGUGAGUGAUGAAGGCCCUAGGGUUGUAAAACUCUUUCGUCAGGGAAGAUAAUGACGGUACCUGAAGAAGA
rnacentral:rRNA from 1 species